rnacentral:rRNA from 2 species
GAUGAACGCUGGCGGCGUGCCUAAUACAUGCAAGUCGAACGAGUUUUGGUCGAUGAACGGUGCUUGCACUGAGAUUCGACUUAAAACGAGUGGCGGACGGGUGAGUAACACGUGGGUAACCUGCCCUUAAGUGGGGGAUAACAUUUGGAAACAGAUGCUAAUACCGCAUAAAUCCAAGAACCGCAUGGUUCUUGGCUGAAAGAUGGCGCAAGCUAUCGCUUUUGGAUGGACCCGCGGCGUAUUAGCUAGUUGGUGAGGUAACGGCUCACCAAGGCGAUGAUACGUAGCCGAACUGAGAGGUUGAUCGGCCACAUUGGGACUGAGACACGGCCCAAACUCCUACGGGAGGCAGCAGUAGGGAAUCUUCCACAAUGGACGCAAGUCUGAUGGAGCAACGCCGCGUGAGUGAAGAAGGCUUUCGGGUCGUAAAACUCUGUUGUUGGAGAAGAAUGGUCGGCAGAGUAACUGUUGUCGGCGUGACGGUAUCCAACCAGAAAGCCACGGCUAACUACGUGCCAGCAGCCGCGGUAAUACGUAGGUGGCAAGCGUUAUCCGGAUUUAUUGGGCGUAAAGCGAGCGCAGGCGGUUUUUUAAGUCUGAUGUGAAAGCCCUCGGCUUAACCGAGGAAGCGCAUCGGAAACUGGGAAACUUGAGUGCAGAAGAGGACAGUGGAACUCCAUGUGUAGCGGUGAAAUGCGUAGAUAUAUGGAAGAACACCAGUGGCGAAGGCGGCUGUCUGGUCUGUAACUGACGCUGAGGCUCGAAAGCAUGGGUAGCGAACAGGAUUAGAUACCCUGGUAGUCCAUGCCGUAAACGAUGAAUGCUAGGUGUUGGAGGGUUUCCGCCCUUCAGUGCCGCAGCUAACGCAUUAAGCAUUCCGCCUGGGGAGUACGACCGCAAGGUUGAAACUCAAAGGAAUUGACGGGGGCCCGCACAAGCGGUGGAGCAUGUGGUUUAAUUCGAAGCAACGCGAAGAACCUUACCAGGUCUUGACAUCUUUUGAUCACCUGAGAGAUCAGGUUUCCCCUUCGGGGGCAAAAUGACAGGUGGUGCAUGGUUGUCGUCAGCUCGUGUCGUGAGAUGUUGGGUUAAGUCCCGCAACGAGCGCAACCCUUAUGACUAGUUGCCAGCAUUGAGUUGGGCACUCUAGUAAGACUGCCGGUGACAAACCGGAGGAAGGUGGGGAUGACGUCAAAUCAUCAUGCCCCUUAUGACCUGGGCUACACACGUGCUACAAUGGAUGGUACAACGAGUUGCGAGACCGCGAGGUCAAGCUAAUCUCUUAAAGCCAUUCUCAGUUCGGACUGUAGGCUGCAACUCGCCUACACGAAGUCGGAAUCGCUAGUAAUCGCGGAUCAGCACGCCGCGGUGAAUACGUUCCCGGGCCUUGUACACACCGCCCGUCACACCAUGAGAGUUUGUAACACCCGAAGCCGGUGGCGUAACCCUUUUAGGGAGCGAGCCGUCUAAGGUGGGACAAAUGAUUAGGGUGAAGUCGUAACAAGGUAGCCGUAGGAGAACC